CGAGUGCAUGAGACGUGACAGUAAUAUGAAGUGCAUUUUAACAACGGAAUUUGUAUGAGCCGGAAGCGAGGACCUUCCAAGCGGCACGAGUGAAGCUCACGGGCGGAAGCAUCGUCGCGGCGACAAGCCUGCAUUACAAACAACCUGUAAUCAACACACGUGCUGGAUACACACCUAUCAACAGCGGCAAGACACGACUUUCUAACAAUGGCUUUAAGAUUGAAUGCUAUUUACUGGCUAAUGAUUCUGACCGACGAAUCUUUAAUAUACGAAAGCAGGAUAGCCGUCGGAGCCGCGUGGUUCGUCGAGAACGUUGACCUCCAUGACGACCUGGACUUAGAGUCCAUCAGUAAGUAUCUACAGUCGGCAUCGAUGCGUCACUUCGGCAAAGCGGCAUGACACGAGAACCCUCUCAUCGUGACCGCCGGUAACUACAUUCCCGAUCCUGCGAACAGAAUGGAAAGCAGUCGACGUUGCCCAAAACACAUCAUUUCGGAUCCUCCCGAUCUACUAACGAUGCUUUUAGGUACCUCAAGCACCGGUCAUCGUUCUCGGCGAACCCAUCGCUUGCGACGAAGGGCUCGACGAGUAAAUUAACCCACAGACACA